CUGCCACCGAAGAGUCCCAUAAUAGGACGAAACGGCCGUCUAGUGC
rnacentral:hammerhead_ribozyme from 1 species